rnacentral:rRNA from 1 species
CUUGCUUCUCUUGAGAGCGGCGGACGGGUGAGUAAUGCCUAGGAAUCUGCCUGGUAGUGGGGGAUAACGUCCGGAAACGGACGCUAAUACCGCAUACGUCCUACGGGAGAAAGCAGGGGACCUUCGGGCCUUGCGCUAUCAGAUGAGCCUAGGUCGGAUUAGCUAGUUGGUGGGGUAAUGGCUCACCAAGGCGACGAUCCGUAACUGGUCUGAGAGGAUGAUCAGUCACACUGGAACUGAGACACGGUCCAGACUCCUACGGGAGGCAGCAGUGGGGAAUAUUGGACAAUGGGCGAAAGCCUGAUCCAGCCAUGCCGCGUGUGUGAAGAAGGUCUUCGGAUUGUAAAGCACUUUAAGUUGGGAGGAAGGGCAGUAAAUUAAUACUUUGCUGUUUUGACGUUACCGACAGAAUAAGCACCGGCUAACUCUGUGCCAGCAGCCGCGGUAAUACAGAGGGUGCAAGCGUUAAUCGGAAUUACUGGGCGUAAAGCGCGCGUAGGUGGUUCGUUAAGUUGGAUGUGAAAUCCCCGGGCUCAACCUGGGAACUGCAUUCAAAACUGACGAGCUAGAGUAUGGUAGAGGGUGGUGGAAUUUCCUGUGUAGCGGUGAAAUGCGUAGAAUAUAGGAAGGGAACACCA